rnacentral:rRNA from 1 species
AUUGAACGCUGGCGGCAUGCUUUACACAUGCAAGUCGAACGGCAGCGCGGGCUUCGGCCUGGCGGCGAGUGGCGAACGGGUGAGUAAUGCAUCGGAACGUGCCCAGUAGUGGGGGAUAGCCCGGCGAAAGCCGGAUUAAUACCGCAUACGACCUGAGGGUGAAAGCGGGGGACCGAAAGGCCUCGCGCUAUUGGAGCGGCCGAUGUCGUAUUAGCUAGUUGGUGGGGUAAAGGCUUACCAAGGCGACGAUCCGUAGCUGGUCUGAGAGGACGACCAGCCACACUGGGACUGAGACACGGCCCAGACUCCUACGGGAGGCAGCAGUGGGGAAUUUUGGACAAUGGGGGCAACCCUGAUCCAGCCAUGCCGCGUGCGGGAAGAAGGCCUUCGGGUUGUAAACCGCUUUUGUUCGGGAAGAAAUCCUCUGGGCUAAUACCCCGGGGGGAUGACGGUACCGGAAGAAUAAGCACCGGCUAACUACGUG